rnacentral:rRNA from 1 species
AAGUCGUAACAAGGUUUCCGUAGGUGAACCUGCGGAAGGAUCAUUAACGAAUAAACUUGAACAGGCUGUUGCUAGCUCCCCCUGGGGGGCAUGUGCACGCUUGUCAUCUUUGUUUCUCCAACUGUGCACACGUUGUAGACCUUUCGGUUCGAGUUUGGGACUGCCAUCGCGGCCAGGGUCUAUGUCAUUUUUCACAAACCAAUGAAUUUGUUUAGAAUGUUGAAUCAGGUCCUUUUUGUACCUAUAAAAGUUAUAAACAACUUUCAGCAACGGAUCUCUUGGUUCUCGCAUCGAUGAAGAACGCAGCGAAAUGCGAUAAGUAAUGUGAAUUGCAGAAUUCAGUGAAUCAUCGAAUCUUUGAACGCAUCUUGCGCUCCUUGGUAUUCCGAGGAGCAUGCCUGUUUGAGUGUCAUUUCGACUUCUCAACCACAGCUGGAUUCAUUUUCUGGGUGUGGCUUGGAUGNGGGUGUGCAGGCCCUCUGANGUCUGCUCCCCUGAAAAGCAUUAGUGGUAUCCGAGCAGAGAAACUACUACAGGUGUGAUAANUUAUCUAUGNCCAUGGUAUUCUGCAUGAAUGGAUUGCGCUGCUUCUAAACAACAUUUGACAAAUUUGACCUCAAAUCAGGUAGGACUACCCGCUGAACUUAAGCAUAUCAAUAAGCGGAGGAAAAGAAACUAACAAGGAUUCNCCUAGUAACUGCGAGUGAAGCGGGAAAAGCUCAAAUUUGAAAUCUGGCGGUUUCUNGNCCGUCCGAGUUGUAAUCUAGAGAAGUGUUACCUGUGCUGGACCGUGUACAAGUCUCCUGGAAUGGAGCAUCAUAGAGGGUGAGAAUCCCGUCUUUGACACGGACUACCUGUACGUUGUGGUGCGCUCUCGAAGAGUCGAGUUGUUUGGGAAUGCAGCUCAAAACGGGUGGUAAAUGCCAUCUAAAGCUAAGUAUUGGCGAGAGACCGAUAGCGAACAAGUACCGUGAGGGAAAGAUGAAAAGAACUUUGGAAAGAGAGUCAAACAGUACGUGAAAUUGCUGAAAGGGAAACGCUUGAAGUCAGUCGCGUUGGCUAGGAAUCAGUCUUGCUCUUGCUUGAUGUACUUUCUCGUCGACGGGUCAGCAUCAAUUUUGACCAUUGGAAAAAGGCUUUGGGAAUGUGGCAUCUUUUUUAGAUGUGUUAUAGCCCAUUGUCGUAUACGGUGGUUGGGAUUGAGGGACUCAGCACGCCGCAAGGCCGGGUCGUUUUCGACCACGUUCGUGCUUAGGAUGCUGGCAUAAUGGCUUUAAUCGACC